UGUGUGUGUGUGUGUGUGUGUAGUAGAGAUGCGCGGAUGGCCUAUUAUUUCAACCGUAACCGCAUAGCAAAACUUAUCAUCCAUCCGCACCAACGUUUUUUGACCAAUUUUCAAAACCACACCCGCCCGCCAUC